rnacentral:rRNA from 1 species
UACGUAGGGUGCGAGCGUUAAUCGGAAUUACUGGGCGUAAAGCGUGCGUAGGCGGUUCCUCAAGUCCGUUGUGAAAGCCCCGGGCUCAACCUGGGAAUGGCAGUGGAAACUAGGGGACUGGAAUCUGGCAGAGGGGGGUGGAAUGCCGCGUGUAGCGGUGGAAUGCGCAGAUAUCAGGAGGAACACCGGUGGCGAAGGCGGGUCUCUGGGCAGUAACUGACGCUGAGGAGCGAAAGCGUGGGGAGCGAACAGG